UGAACAAUGCCAAACAUAGCAUCAUUACAGCAUUGAGAAAACGUCAUUCAGAACACUGCGCUAAGGUCGCAGUUGCAAAUGAGAACUUGUUCUCAACUAGCCUACCUGGUUAAAUAAAGUGACGUGUCUGUGUGCUGUGGAGGAAUGGAGCUGCUCUGACCCGGCAGUGGCCAGGGGGUGUCUGGAGCUGGGCUAGAGCCUGUCAGAGCCAGGGGGUGUCUGGAGCUGGG